rnacentral:tRNA from 2 species
GCGGAUAUAGCUCAGUGGUAGAGUGUUUGCCUAGUAUGCACAAGGCCCUGGGUUCUAAUCCCCAGUACCACA